AUAAAACUGCCGUCUCUGCUCAGCCGCCGUCUCUCCAACAAAAACGCAUCACCAGACUCAGUGCCUCUCAUCACUUAUUCAUUUGGUCAGUUGGUAACGGAGGGAAAGAGCCCCUCUUUUUUCUUCUGUAAGAGUGGUUGCUUUGAUUCCGUUCAUUUGCCGACACUCCGCGGAAUAUGCCAACGGUCUCGUUUCGCGAGCCGAUCUCUGCCUGGCGCAGCUGCUGGUGGCAGAGCUUGUAGGAGGAGCUCUGUCAGGUGACCAGAGAUGUAUCCUCUGUUGAGUUGGAGAUGGUGGCUAGUACCAAGUACCAAGUCCUGAGUUCCCAUCCUGCAAUUACACAGGGAUUGAUGCUCGGGGAGAGUGAUGGGGGGUAAAUGCAUCUUAAGAGGUGGACACCCUGGGGAAAUCCGGCAAAGAGGAUCAGGUACAGUGGGAGCUACAUCCCUCAAGUGUAUCAAGCUUUUGGGGCCUCCCAAUAAUGUUUGGAGAACAUCCCAUUUGCAUGACCAUUUA